rnacentral:rRNA from 1 species
UACAGAGGGUGCAAGCGUUGUUCGGAAUGACUGGGCGUAAAGCGCGCGUAGGCGGAUCAGGAAGUUGGGGGGUGAAAUCCCGGGGCUCAACCCCGGAAUGGCCUUCAAAACUCCUGGUCUUGAGUUCGAGAGAGGUGAGUGGAAUUCCGAGUGUAGAGGUGAAAUUCGUAGAUAUUCGGAGGAACACCAGUGGCGAAGGCGAGUCUCUGGAAAGCUGCUGACGCUGAGGCACGAAGGCCAGGGGAGCAAACGGGG